rfam:Citrus clementina cultivar Clemenules unplaced genomic scaffold scaffold_2, whole genome shotgun sequence.
ACCAAUUCUGGUGGAAAUGUUAGUUCCUCUUGGUGUAAUGGCUCGGACGCAAUAUUUAGCUUUUUUUUGUGGCUUAUCCUGACUGGUGGUCAUCUCUAUGCCACUUGAUCCUGGAAACACCACAAACAUUU